UUUAUUUGAGAGUUUGAUCCUGGCUCAGGACGAACGCUGGCGGCGUGCCUAAUACAUGCAAGUUGAGCGCUGAAGGUUGGUACUUGUACCGACUGGAUGAGCAGCGAACGG
rnacentral:rRNA from 1 species